rnacentral:rRNA from 1 species
CUGGCUCAGAUUGAACGCUGGCGGCAGGCCUAACACAUGCAAGUCGAGCGGAGGAAGGGAGCUUGCUCCUGGAAUCAGCGGCGGACGGGUGAGUAAUGCCUGGGAAUCUGCCUGGUAGUGGGGGAUAACGUCUCGAAAGGGACGCUAAUACCGCGUACGUCCUACGGGAGAAAGCAGGGGAUCUUCGGACCUUGCGCUAUCAGAUGAGCCCAGGCCGGAUUAGCUUGUUGGUGAGGUAAUGGCUCACCAAGGCGACGAUCCGUAGCUGGUCUGAGAGGAUGAUCAGCCACACUGGGACUGAGACACGGCCCAGACUCCUACGGGAGGCAGCAGUGGGGAAUAUUGGACAAUGGGCGAAAGCCUGAUCCAGCCAUGCCGCGUGUGUGAAGAAGGUCUUCGGAUUGUAAAGCACUUUAAGUUGGGAGGAAGGGGUUGAAGCUAAUACCUUCAAUCUUUGACGUUACCAACAGAAUAAGCACCGGCUAACUCUGUGCCAGCAGCCGCGGUAAUACAGAGGGUGCAAGCGUUAAUCGGAAUUACUGGGCGUAAAGCGCGCGUAGGUGGUUCAGUAAGAUGGAAGUGAAAUCCCCGGGCUUAACCUGGGAACUGCUUUCAUAACU